GGUGCCAUGGCUUAGUUGGUUAAAGCGCCUGUCUAGUAAACAGGAGAUCCUGAGUUCGGCUCUCAGUGGUGCCU
rnacentral:tRNA from 1 species